rnacentral:rRNA from 1 species
UCUUCCACAAUGGACGAAAGUCUGAUGGAGCAACGCCGCGUGAGCGAAGAAGGCUUUCGUAUCGUAAAUGUCUGUUGCGAGGGAAGAACAAGUACGUGAGUAAUUGCCUGUACCUUGACGGUACCUCGUCAGAAAGCCACGGCUCACUACGUUCACGCAGCCGCGGUAAUACGUAGGUUGCAAGCGUUGUCCGGAAUUAUUGGGCGUACAGCGCGCGCAGGCGGUCCUUUAAGUCUGAUGUGAAAGCCCACGGCUCAACCGUGGAGGGUCAUUGGAAACUGGAGGACUUGAGUACAGAAGAGGAAAGCGGAAUUCCACGUGUAGCGGUGAAAUGCGUAGAGAUGUGGAGGAACACCAGUGGCGAAGGCGGCUUUCUGGUCUGUAACUGACGCUGAGGCGCGAAAGCGUGGGGAGCAAAC